rnacentral:rRNA from 1 species
UACGUAGGUGGCAAGCGUUGUCCGGAAUUAUUGGGCGUAAAGCGCGCGCAGGCGGUCCUUUAAGUCUGAUGUGAAAGCCCACGGCUCAACCGUGGAGGGUCAUUGGAAACUGGGGGACUUGAGUGCAGGAGAGAAGAGUGGAAUUCCACGUGUAGCGGUGAAAUGCGCAGAUAUCAGGAGGAACACCAAUAGCGAAGGCAGCUCGCUGGGACGGUACUGACGCUAAGGCGCGAAAGCGUGGGGAGCGAACAGG